CAGGGACUUAUAGGGAGACAUGGAGACAAGGAUUGGGCUGAUGUUUCUAAAAGCCAAGGAACAUCAAAGAUUGCUAGUGGGUCUCCAGAAGCUGGGAGAGGGGCAUGGGACAGACGUCCCUCCCAACCCUCCAAAGGAAUCCACACUGCCUGCAUCCUGCCCUUGAACUUUGAGCCGCAGACUGCAAGACCACAAACUUCACCUGUUUCAAGACUUUCAGUGUGUGAUGCUUUGUUACAGCAGCCUGGGUGAGCCGGUCCAGGAGGUGAGAUAUUCAGUCAUGAUCCAGAUGAAGAACCAUGGAAAUCAGUGGACAAUUGUAGACAGGGCAUUGCCAUUGGAAAUACAAGUCAUCUGAUGAACAACUACUUGCUUUUUGGGAUAUCAGUUAUUCUUUGUGAACCUCAGUUUUUCAGCAGCAAAAAGUGGAUAUUUAGUACCUUUCUCAAGGGCUUCUCUGAGGGGAUAACACACAGCAAGUAUGAUGCCGUGGGAGGCUGGUGCUGGAGGCACUGAAUCAGAGGAACCACGAUGUCUAGAUUUUCAGAAGGACAGCAAGCCACGGAAACGUGUCCAUCUGUGAUUUCAUUCCUCCUGCAGAGAAGAUUUCUGUACAAGUUGAUCAGAUUCCAUUGCGCCCAAGCCGACACUCCACUUUUUGGAUAGAAUUCUCCACACAUGUCCGCAAUGAGAAGAAACUACUGAGGAAUACAUACAUGUGUGUGUACCUUGCAUGCUGGGGGCCGGCCAGCCUCUGCCAUUCCAGGGAAGGAGAAGACAGUGCUCCCUGGUGGAGACUUUCCCGGACAUUCCAGUACAUUCCAGAGUACAUUCCAGUUGCCUCCUAACCAGAAGGCCUUGGUUCCUUGUCGGGCCCUACAAAACAGCCUCGCGGGGUCCAGCAGCAAAGAGUGGGUUUGACCUUGUGUUCCCUCAUUA